CGCCCUCGUGGGACGGUCGGGAUCCGGCAAGUCGACGCUGGUAUCGUUGGUGCCACGGCUGUUCGAGGCGACCGACGGCGC
rnacentral:tRNA from 1 species